rnacentral:rRNA from 1 species
GAGUUUGAUCGUGGCUCAGAUUGAACGCUGGCGGCAGGCCUAACACAUGCAAGUCGAGCGGAUGAAGGGUGCUUGCUCCUGGAUUCAGCGGCGGACGGGUGAGUAAUGCCUAGGAAUCUGCCUGGUAGUGGGGGAUAACGUCCGGAAACGGGCGCUAAUACCGCAUACGUCCUGAGGGAGAAAGUGGGGGAUCUUCGGACCUCACGCUAUCAGAUGAGCCUAGGUCGGAUUAGCUAGUUGGUGGGGUAAAGGCCUACCAAGGCGACGAUCCGUAACUGGUCUGAGAGGAUGAUCAGUCACACUGGAACUGAGACACGGUCCAGACUCCUACGGGAGGCAGCAGUGGGGAAUAUUGGACAAUGGGCGAAAGCCUGAUCCAGCCAUGCCGCGUGUGUGAAGAAGGUCUUCGGAUUGUAAAGCACUUUAAGUUGGAGGAAGGGCAGUAAGUUAAUACCUUGCUGUUUGACGUUACCAACAGAAUAAGCACCGGCUAACUUCGUGCCAGCAGCCGCCG